rnacentral:tRNA from 1 species
UGCCUUGUCGUCUAAUGGUAGGACAUGAGAUUCUGGAUCUCAGUAUCAUGGUUCGAGUCCAUGCGAGGCAACCA